rnacentral:rRNA from 1 species
CGGCGAACGGUCGAGUAACACGUAACCAACUUGCCCCUUAGGUCUGGGAUAGCCCUUCGAAAGAGGGAGUAAUACCGGAUAGUCUCACGAUGUGACAUCGUAUUGUGAGUAAAGGCUUGUACGCCCAAGGAGAGGGUUGCGUCCUAUCAGCUGGUUGGCGGGGUAACGGCCCACCAAGGCGACGACGGGUAGCUGGUCUGAGAGGAUGAUCAGCCGGAUUGGGACUGAGACACGGCCCAA